rnacentral:rRNA from 1 species
UACAGAGGUCUCAAGCGUUGUUCGGAUUCAUUGGGCGUAAAGGGUGCGUAGGCGGCGCGGUAAGUCGGGUGUGAAAUUUCGAGGCUUAACUUCGAAACUGCAUUCGAUACUGCCGUGCUAGAGGACUGGAGAGGAGACUGGAAUUUACGGUGUAGCGGUGAAAUGCGUAGAUAUCGUAAGGAAGACCAGUGGCGAAGGCGGGUCUCUGGACAGUUCCUGACACUGAGGCACGAAGGCCAGGGGAGCAAGCGGG